rnacentral:rRNA from 1 species
GACGAACGCUGGCGGCGUGCUUAACACAUGCAAGUCGAACGGAAAUGCCCUGCUGUUGUGGGGUGCUCGAGUGGCGAAAGGGUGAGUAACACGUGAGUAACCUGCCCUUGACUUUGGGCUAACUUCGGGAAACUGGGGCUAAUACCGGAUAGGAGCUCCUGCUGCAUGGUGGGGGUUGGAACGUUUCGGCGGUUGGGGAUGGACUCGCGGCUUAUCGGCUUGUUGGUGGGGUAGUGGCUUACCAAGGCUUUGACGGGUAGCCGGCCUGGGAGGGUGACCGGCGACAAUGGGACUGAGAGACGGACCAGACGCCUACGGGAGGCAGUAGUCGGGAAUAUGGCACAGCGGGGGGAAGCGUGAGGCAGCGACGCCGCGUGCGUGAAGACGGCUUGCGGGUUGUAAACCGCUUUCGCCUGUGACGAAGCGUGAGUGACGGUAACGGGUAAGGAAGCACCGGCUAACUACGUG